UACGGAGGGUGCGAGCGUUAUCCGGAAUCACUGGGCGUAAAGGGCGCGUAGGCGGUUUGUUAAGUCCGAUGUUAAAGACCGAGGCUCAACCUCGACACGGCGUUGGAUACUGGCAAGCUGGACGGUUGGAGAGGAAGGUAGAAUUACCAGUGUAGCGGUGGAAUGCGUAGAUACUGGUAGGAAUACCCAUUGCGAAGGCAGCCUUCUGGACAACCCGUGACGCUGAGGCG
rnacentral:rRNA from 1 species